CCCGCUGAACUUAAGCAUAUCAAUAAGCGGAGGAAAAGAAACUAACAAGGAUUCCCCUAGUAACUGCGAGUGAAGCGGGAAGAGCUCAAAUUUGAAAUCUGGCGGUCCCUUGGGCUGUCCGAGUUGUAAUCUAGAGAAGUGCUACCUGUGCUGGACCGUGUACAAGUCUCCUGGAAUGGAGCAUCACAGAGGGUGAGAAUCCCGUCUUUGACACGGACUGCCAUGUGCGAUAUGGUGCGCUCUCGAAGAGUCGAGUUGUUUGGGAAUGCAGCUCUAAGUGGGUGGUAAAUUCCAUCUAAAGCUAGAUAUUGGCGAGAGACCGAUAGCGAACAAGUACAGUGAUGGAAAGAUGAAAAGAACUUUGAAAAGAGAGUGAAAAAGUACGUGAAAUUGUUGAAAGGGAAGGGCUUGAAAUCAGACUUGGUAUUCAAUGAUCAAUUUUCUUUCGGGGAGAUGCACUCGUUGUUUACUGGGCCAACAUCGAUUUAGACGGUGAGAUAAUGACAGUUGAAUGUGGCUUGCUUCGGUAAGUGUUAUAGCUUCUGUUGAUAUCAUCAGUUUGGAUCGAGGACUGCGCAUUUUUGCUAGGAUGUUGGCGUAAUGAUUUUAAGCCACCCGUCUUGAAACACGG
rnacentral:rRNA from 1 species